GCACUACCCUUCCCUUCUUCCCCGACGUUGCAGACGAGGAGACGUUCGUCCUCUUGAAUAUCGUCGAAGAAAUCCGUCUUUUACCGGUUCUUCCGUAAACAGAUCGGACGAAUAAAAUGUAUUCAGGCAAACGCAAGGCGAGUUCCUGCCUACCUACGUGGCUGCAUAUGCUAAUGUUCCCUCGUCCUCUUCACCGUAGCAGAAGCGGUUCACGGACCAGAUGUGCAACGUGAUGCAACAGUUGUAACUUCUGCUUCAGAACAGCAACGCGAUACUGCACGCUUUUCGUCGACCAUCUAUGUAUCUCGACAGUUACGAUAUCCGUCUUCCUCUACUCUGCAAGGACGAUUUCAAAUAUGGACUGAUUUAACAUUCGCCGGAAGAAAAAUCUAAUUAAAAAUACCUACGUAAAAUAUAAUAUAUAAAUUAAAAAUCCGAGUGACGAACAGUUUACAUUAUGGUUUUGCGAUAGACGACUAUCGUUGCGCGCUUUUCAAUCUUUCUAUUUUAUAAGGUGACGGCACCGUCAUCGUAACUUCGAUGCUAUCUACAUACAUAAUCGCAAAACAAGCUUACGAUGUAACGCGAUCUAUAACCUAUGUAGGAAUAUAUCUAACAAGAAAGUAUAAUUCUACUAGAAGUAGAUACAUAUAAGAUACAUACAUUAUUCAUGUACACUAUUUUCAAAGAUCCAAAAAUCAUUAGAUAGCAAAAUAUAAUUUUAGAAUCGUUUAACGAUAAUCAUCUUUAAACGAUGCGGCCUUUUCGAUCACGAUGAACAGAAUGAAAAUACAUAUGCACGUAUCUAGGUA